CUGAAAAUAGUUUUGCAUUUAUCACUUCAUUUAGUACCUAAAACUAUUGAUAUUCAAAUUGAUGCAGAGACUUCGUUCAACACCUUCACGAUUCAACAGUAGACCCCGACCUAAAGAUUGACAACCACUGCUCUAACGCUCUUACCAGUGAAAUUCGAUUUAUUCUGUAUUAUCAAAUACAAAGAGGCAUCCACAAUGUAUGUAACUGAAUGUAAAAUCAAUAAAAAAGUAUCUACGAACAGCUCAAUUCAAAGUAAAACUGCUCUUGAUAUUACCUCCUCCAGCACACAGAAGCAACUUCCAUUUCAGCACACCGACUGCCAAGGCAUUUUCCGAUUUUCUCCGCGCCACCGCCGCCGAACCGAUCCAUUAUCAUCAAUUACCGAAAUAACAAUUAUGCUUAUUGAAUUUUCUUUUCUUUUUUUCUCGCAUGCGCCACUAACCAAAACUAAUUACUCGCUCGCUGGAUCUGGCAUUGUUGUUGGACCCCAAAGACGCUGCUGAAGCCAUCGUGUUCGUGCAACGCCAACUACCCCAGUAGCCAAUUAUCCCACUACAGAUCAAAGAGGCGCGACCAGGCGUGUGGGGGUAAAUUGAAUCGAUGUUACACCGAAGUUAUUGUUACGGCUACCGCAUAUCUACUAAACGCAAGUGCUUGUAGCUUAGAAGAAUUGCCGACCGACACGGUACUACUGCAUGGUGUUGAAGAGAGUGAAACGCGUGUGUUUGUGAAAAUUAAGCGAAUAAUGCUUCGGAACCCCAAAUAGGAAGAUCAAAUCAAUUUUGUUGGAUGCAGUUUUCCUGUGAACGAACGACAACCGCCCGUCGCCGAGGAGGACCCAGGAAGAAACGAAAAGUCUCGAGCUGAUCCUACCGCCCUAUAGAUAGCUAGUGUAGACAACGGCCCGGAAAAAAAAGUAUAACCAAACCAGCAGCGAUAAGACGGCUGUCGUCUAACCAAGAGUUUCCGUAAGGAGACGAAGAAAACAGCGAAUACCUCGCAAGCAAGUGCAAGCAAAAGAAAAGACAAACAAACCGCUUUCCCCGCCACUCCUCCAAGCGGAUCCGUGUGUUUGCAUUUGUGUUUGUUUUCGAUUGUGCGGGUUUCCCGUUUCCGCUUCAUUCCAUCGAAACUUCAAAACAAAAACAAUCCAUUCCGAGUGACGUGCUUUGCUUACAUUCCUUGGGUGUGUGCGUGGGUGAGUGUUUAUAAUCGGUCGAAGUUCGACUGUCUAGUGCUGCUGAUCCCCUAAACGUUUGAGGGUUUCCCGAGUUUGUGCCUACAACACAUAGGUUAACGACGGACGAACAAAGACGAACAUUGACACGACGCCGGUGGUGUACACAGUGAUAAGGCACCGCCACGUUCAGCCAAAUCGACUGACCGAGUCCGGUCUGUGGUUUGGGAGCCGAAAGGUCGUGCUGAUAAAUACUGAGUGGGACCAGUAAGCACACGCCGGAGAGCAAGUAGCGACGACAACGACGACGACGCUGUUUGUUGCUGCCAGGCGAGCUAGAAGGAAAAAGGAACGGUUCCGCACAUACUCGCCAGUCGCCCGGAACAACCCAGGUGAGUGCCCCAGAUGUAGUUUUGAUAAGUGGAUAAAUACAAUCAUUCACCGCCCCGGCAGGUUGUUUAUUUUACCCUGGAGGAUUUCAAAGCUCAAUAUUUAUUUAUUGAUAUUGCUGCCCAGGUAGGUGGCACGUUGGUACUUGUAGAAAUCUCAGCUGAUUUAUGUGAGGUUUUCGGGAUGUUUGAAUUAUGAUGUUGAUUCAAGUUAUUAUCAGGUGAUUUGGUUAUUUAUGGUAUCAAUACAAGCUAUUAGUAAGGUGAUAAGAUAAACUGUUUCUUACUUCUACUGUGCUGUGUCUUCUGUAGUGCAUUAUGAUUUUUCAUUGGCAACAGUCUUUUUUGGAAGUUUAGAACAGUGAACAACUGGCCUAUUUUUUCAAUAAUCCAGUCGUUUGCAUAACAGCUCAUGUAUUAAGUUUUUCUAAGGCGACUUCUAAUCAAUCAUACCCAAUGAUAGGUGAAACAAAUAGUUAUUAAUCAUAAACAGGACUUCUUGCGACAAUGUUAUUUUUUUUCAUAUGCAUAUGCUACAUAUGUAGGAUGAGGCGGGGCAAGAUGGGUCACCUUAGGAUGGAUCACCAUAACUUUGUAAAUACAUAUCGUAUUGGUUUGUAUUCGUCCGCUACUCUUUAAUACACUAGUUUAGCUAUACUAAAAGUCGAUAAAAAGUUCAUUAAAUACAAAAUAUGAUGUUAAACAAGUAGUUUUAAAAAGUGAUCGAUUUUACGCCGUGAAAAAAGUGCGGGGCAAGAUGGGUCACCUUUUAAGUAAUUCACAUUUUCUCAACGAAAAACGUCAAAAUAUAAAAUUUGUUCCGCAUUCAUAUAUGCUCCAUAUCCAUACUGAGUAAACAAGAGCUACUAGUGAACAUUUUAUUAAUUUAUUUGGAGUAUAAAAAACUUUACGAUUUGAUUGGUCCUAAGGCGACUUGAAAAUCAAUGUUUUCACUAAAAAAAUAUCAUAAUUUUAUGUUAUAAUUUUGAGCGUUCAUUCCGCUUGAUUGAAGUCAUUUAUGAGAUAGUCUUGUAAUAAAAAAUAAAUGACUUUUGAAUGCUCCAAAAAUACGUUCAAAAUUGAAGGUGACCCAUCAUGCCCCGCGGCAGUUUAUAUGGAGAUUAUAUGGAACGUAUCGCAUAAGAAAAAUGGCUAAAAACAUUUAAUUUUUUAUUUCCAAUGAGAGUGAAUAAUUUUUCAAUCAAUGCCCCAAACUUUUGUAUACUCAUGCUGGUCAUCUUAUCAAAUUAUAAACAUAAUCAAAGCAUGAGUAAUGCGCUCGAAAAUGGCACUGACCCAUCUUGCCCCGCGACCCAUCUGGCCCCGCCCCACCCUACAGUGUUUUGUCACUUAUAAGCAGUCAAAUUGAAAAACAAUGUUAAACAAAAUAUAAAAUCGAAAACAAAGACAUAUUGGUUGAUUUGUCUUUAUUAGAGAGACUUUCAGCCCUUGGCUGGUUCGUCUCUUCAAAGACAUAUCUAGUUAUCCACUAGCAAAAUAAGUUUCUCUCACGAAUUAGAAACGUUUCUAACUCGCAAUGCCGGUCAUGAUACAUUCCUUCCCUAGCACAAUCAAUUUGGUUUCAAUUGACAUGACAAGCCAUUCGUACGACAAUGCAUACGACGGCAACUAGGCAAACUCGCCAAUUAAGUAUUCCAAUAAACCAUACAGUUGCGGUGUUGAACAAAUGUAUUCCAAUUAUCUUUAGUCACGUUUAGUCGUUUGAACAGUGCCCAUCAGCAAUAUGAGCGUAUUGAAGACAAAUGUAAGCAAAAAACUAAUCGAUUGCUCUGACAUCUAUAUUCUACAUCCUAUCUUACUUGUACAUGAUCUACUUACAUCUGCAUCUGAUUAUCUAUAUUAGGUAGGACAUGAAUGGCUUUUCUUGUUCAUUCGUUUGAUUCGUUUGAUUGAUUUCAUCAAAACUACUCUAGUUUUUCUUGAAUUUGUUGAACAAUUUGGCAAAAUGAGACACUUUCGGACCAUAUAAUCGAAGCGGCAAACGCCCGAGUAUUCUGCAAGACUAAGUAUGCAGAGGGUGACGGGAUUUCCUCUACUUUCUUAGGCAUAGUGCAUUUUCGUGCCUGCCACACGAUAUACAAAUGUAAAAAGGUCAAUGAAUCUCUCGAACAGUCUCUCAGAAGGUUGAAGUUAGCGCUUCAACCUUUUUCGAUGCAUCAGCGUUUCUGUGACUCUUUAGCGCUCCUAAGCGAGGAAGGGAUAUUGGACUUUUCCUUAUAAUGGGAAGGGAAUUUGUACUAUCAUAGCAUGCAGUUUGAUGAAUAUAAGACUAUGAAUAUUGGAACAAAAAAAGCUUCAGAAUGUUGCCGUUGGCGGUGUACGCAACCAAACAAUAUUAAGUCCUGUGAGGCUCAAAGGAGAUGUCAUACCCAAAUAUAUACAUAAACAUCUAAACUUUGGCUUGAUAACUAGCGCCACCAACUAAUUGAUGAAUCUCCAGAAUGGUCUUGUCCUUCUGAAUAACUUCCGACAAAUUUCUAUCUGCUUUGGAUCCCGGAUAGAAAGGUCUAAUACUUUGUUUGAUAACUAGUUUCGCCAAGCGGCGAAAUUGCCAGAAUGCUC